GAUGAACGCUGGCGGCGUGCCUAAUACAUGCAAGUCGAGCGAACGGACGAGAAGCUUGCUUUUCUGAUGUUAGCGGCGGACGGGUGAGUAACACGUGGAUAACCUACCUAUAAGACUGGGAUAACUUCGGGAAACCGGAGCUAAUACCGGAUAAUAUUUUGAACCGCAUGGUUCAAAAGUGAAAGACGGUCUUGCUGUCACUUAUAGAUGGAUCCGCGCUGCAUUAGCUAGUUGGUAAGGUAACGGCUUACCAAGGCAACGAUGCAUAGCCGACCUGAGAGGGUGAUCGGCCACACUGGAACUGAGACACGGUCCAGACUCCUACGGGAGGCAGCAGUAGGGAAUCUUCCGCAAUGGGCGAAAGCCUGACGGAGCAACGCCGCGUGAGUGAUGAAGGUCUUCGGAUCGUAAAACUCUGUUAUUAGGGAAGAACAUAUGUGUAAGUAACUGUGCACAUCUUGACGGUACCUAAUCAGAAAGCUACGGCUAACUACGUG
rnacentral:rRNA from 1 species